rnacentral:sRNA from 1 species
CUUUAGCCCCGAUUGCAGUGGAAAUCCUUUUAUGCCGGUGUUCGGCACAAAAGAUUGUAGCAGAAAGCGGGACGAUGU